rnacentral:rRNA from 1 species
CUCCAGCUUGCUGGGGUACACGAGUGGCGAACGGGUGAGUAACACGUGGGUGACCUGCCCUGCACUUCGGGAUAAGCCUGGGAAACUGGGUCUAAUACCGGAUAGGACCGCACCGUGAGGGUGUGGUGGAAAGUUUUUUCGGUGUGGGAUGGGCCCGCGGCCUAUCAGCUUGUUGGUGGGGUAAUGGCCUACCAAGGCGGCGACGGGUAGCCGGCCUGAGAGGGUGGACGGCCACAUUGGGACUGAGACACGGCCCAGACUCCUACGGGAGGCAGCAGUGGGGAAUAUUGCACAAUGGGCGGAAGCCUGAUGCAGCGACGCCGCGUGGGGGAUGACGGCCUUCGGGUUGUAAACUCCUUUCACCAUCGACGAAGGGUUUCUGACGGUAGAUGGAGAAGAAGCACCGGCUAACUACGUGCCAGCAGCCGCGGUAAUACGUAGGGUGCGAGCGUUGUCCGGAAUUACUGGGCGUAAAGAGCUCGUAGGUGGUUUGUCGCGUCGUCUGUGAAAUUCCGGGGCUUAACUCCGGGCGUGCAGGCGAUACGGGCAUAACUUGAGUACUGUAGGGGAGACUGGAAUUCCUGGUGUAGCGGUGAAAUGCGCAGAUAUCAGGAGGAACACCGGUGGCGAAGGCGGGUCUCUGGGCAGUAACUGACGCUGAGGAGCGAAAGCAUGGGGAGCGAACAGGAUUAGAUACCCUGGUAGCCAUGCCGUAAACGGUGGGCGCUAGGUGUGGGUUUCCUUCCACGGGAUCCGUGCCGUAGCUAACGCAUUAAGCGCCCCGCCUGGGGAGUACGGCCGCAAGGCUAAAACUCAAAGGAAUUGACGGGGGCCCGCACAAGCGGCGGAGCAUGUGGAUUAAUUCGAUGCAACGCGAAGAACCUUACCUGGGCUUGACAUAUACAGGAUCGCGCCAGAGAUGGUGUUUCCCUUGUGGCUUGUAUACAGGUGGUGCAUGGUUGUCGUCAGCUCGUGUCGUGAGAUGUUGGGUUAAGUCCCGCAACGAGCGCAACCCUUGUCUUAUGUUGCCAGCACGUUGUGGUGGGGACUCGUAAGAAACUGCCGGGGUUAACUCGGAGGAAGGUGGGGAUGACGUCAAAUCAUCAUGCCCCUUAUGUCCAGGGCUUCACACAUGCUACAAUGGUCGGUACAGUGGGUUGCCAGUCCGUGAGGGCGAGCUAAUCCCGCAAAGCCGGUCUCAGUUCGGAUCGGGGUCUGCAACUCGACCCCGUGAAGUCGGAGUCGCUAGUAAUCGCAGAUCAGCAACGCUGCGGUGAAUACGUUCCCGGGCCUUGUACACACCGCCCGUCACGUCAUGAAAGUCGGUAACACCCGAAGCCAGUGGCCUAC